AAGGAACUGUCACUACCGCAUGAAUGUUCCUUCUCGGCAUCAUAAAUCAAUGGCUUCGAUGUCAUUUUGACAAUUGCCAUUUCAAUAGAAAUGUAUGUUGGCCGAAUGAACUGGUUUUGUAGAAUAAGUUUUGUGCAUUGAAUAACAAAAGCAAC